GAUGAACGCUAGCUACAGGCUUAACACAUGCAAGUCGAGGGACCGGCGCACGGGUGAGUAACACGUAUCCAACCUGCCCUUUACUCGGGGAUAGCCUUUCGAAAGACAGAUUAAUACCAGAUGUAAAGGAAGGGGAUGCGUUCCCUUAGGUUGUUGGUGAGGGAACGGUUCACCAAGCCUUCGAUGGAGAGGGGUGCUGAGAGGAAGGUCCCCCACAUUGGAACUGAGACACGGUCCAAACUCCUACGGGAGGCAGCAGUGAGGAAUAUUGGGCAAUGGGCGGUAGCCUGAACCAGCCAAGUAUCGUGAAGGAUGAAGGCUUAUGGGUCUUAAACUUCUUUUAUAUAAGAAUAUGUAUUAUAUGAAUAAGCAUCGGCUAACUCCGUGCCAGCAGCCGCGGUAAUAC
rnacentral:rRNA from 1 species